GGCGAUCGCCCCUCCGCUCCCCAGCCGUGGAACUCUCCCCGCCUCUGAGCUCGCAGAGAGCAGCUGUCUCCUGGGGCAGCACCGGCGGGGGAAGCAGAGCGCUUUCUGGGAGCCAUCACGGGAACGAGUGAAGAAGGCCGGGAGCUUAGCUGCCUGCUCGGCAAUGUCCCAGCGCUGCCCCCAUGCGGCCUCCUGCCAUCCAGGUCCCCUCCAGGCCCACAGCUCCCCGACUCGGCCCCGCAGAGACUGACUGUCACGAGGAAGCUGAGCUCCCCAGAACCUUUCCCAAAGCUGGUGUGGGCCUCUGUGUCACCCAGGCCCCGCUGGAGCAGCCGGACAACAGUUGACACCCGGCCGAGGGUGGAAACUGCAGCAGGAGUCCAGAGGAAAGAGCUGCGCUCCCUGGACACAGCUCCCUAAGCAGGGCAGCUGCUUCUGCUGCCUCACCAGGGCAGGGGCUUCGCUGGCCUGGGCACAGGACCCCGCUCUUAUGAACUGUGCCCCGGCCGUGGGCAAAGAGAGUCAGCUAAACCAAG
rnacentral:lncRNA from 1 species